CGCGGAACUAUACUUUAUAACAAAUAUUUAUAAACUGACGAUUCAUACAGAAGAUGUAUUGGAUGUUUACAUUGUUUAUUGCUUUGAGUUUCAAUGCUUGUGUUGGUGCUGUCGAGCAAGAAUCAAGCAAGGCGAACGAUUACCUUACUGAAAAGUGGGAAAAAUGGUUUGAUUUUGAUGAUUACAAUCACGAUGGAAUACUUUCAAUGGCAGAUCCUAAAGUAUUUGAGUAA